UACGUAGGGCGCAAGCGUUGUCCGGAAUCAUUGGGCGUAAAGAGCUCGUAGGCGGUUUGUUGCGUCGGCUGUGAAAUCCCGAGGCUCAACCUCGGGUCUGCAGUCGAUACGAGCAAACUAGAGUGUUGCAGGGGAGACUGGAAUUCCUGGUGUAGCGGUGAAAUGCGCAGAUAUCAGGAGGAACACCGGUGGCGAAGGCGGCCCUCUGGACCGGUACUGACGCUGAUGCGCGAAAGCGUGGGGAGCAAACGGG
rnacentral:rRNA from 1 species